AUGGACUUCCAGCGGCGUUACUCUCCGGCCUCCGCCUAUGCUGUUCAAUUCCACGGAUCUCACCCCAGUUCCUGUCCACAAAAGAUCUGGUUGGCGCAUGCUGAGCCAAAAUGCAAUUUCUUCUCCUGUCUCGUUCUUCACGGUAGAAUCCUCAUUUCCGACAUGCUUGCCAUCCAUGGGUGGCCGCACGACCCGAUCUGCAAGCUAUGUCUGCGUGCUCCUGAGACUGCCAUGCAUCUCUGCAAAGACUGCCCCUUUUCCCAGGCUGUCUGGAGCAACGUUCAAACUUGGACUGGUGAGAUCAUCCAGGCUACUACCGUGCAGGGCACAACUCAGGGGGUCUCAGAUUGGUGGAGACCAUGA
rnacentral:rRNA from 1 species